GCCAAGGUGGUGUAAUGGUAACACACGUAAGUCACUAUAUUAGGAGCGAGAUCCGGGUUCGAAUCCUGGCCUUGACU
rnacentral:tRNA from 1 species